GAAAAUGACUCUCGGCAACGGAUAUCUCGGCUCUUGCAUCGAUGAAGAACGUAGCGAAAUGCGAUACUUGGUGUGAAUUGCAGAAUCCCGUGAACCAUCGAGUCUUUGAACGCAAGUUGCGCCCGAAGCCAUUUGGUUUGAGGGCACGCCUGCCUGGGUGUCGUG
rnacentral:rRNA from 1 species